GACGAACGCUGGCGGCGUGCUUAACACAUGCAAGUCGAACGGAAAGGCCCGGCGUUUGUGGGGUGCUCGAGUGGCGAAGGGGGGAGUAACACGUGAGUAACCUGCCCUUGACUUUGUGAUAACAUCAGGAAAAUGGGGCUAAUACCGGAUAGGAUCUCCUGCUGCAUGGUGGUGGAUGGUAAGUUUCGGCGGUUGGGGAUGGACUCGCGGCUUAUGAGCUUGUUGGUGGGGUAGUGGCUUACCAAGGCUUUGACGGGUAGCCGGCCUGAGAGGGUGACCGGCCACAUUGGGACUGAGAGACGGACCAGACUCCUACGGGAGGCAGCAGUGGGGAAUAUUGCACAGUGGGCGGAAGCCAGAUGCAGCAACGCCGCGUGCGGGAUGACGGCCUUCGGGUGGUAAACCGAUUUCGCCUGUGACAAAGCGUGAGUGACGGUAAUGGGUAAAGAAGCGCCGGCUAACUACGUG
rnacentral:rRNA from 1 species